rnacentral:rRNA from 1 species
UACGUAGGGUGCAAGCGUUGUUCGGAAUCACUGGGCGUAAAGAGAGCGUAGGCGGGAUUGUAAGUUAGGAGUUUAAAGCAUGGGCUCAACCCAUGAUCUGCUUUUAAUACUGCGGUUCUUGAGUAUGGGAGAGGGCGAUGGAAUUCCAGGUGUAGCGGUGGAAUGCGUAGAUAUCUGGAAGAACACCAGUAGCGAAGGCGGUCGCCUGGCCCAAUACUGACGCUGAGGCUCGAAAGCUAGGGGAGCAAACAGG